CCCGUGUCACGGGCAGCUUAUGAGAGAAUUGAGAGUCGAACAGUGAGCGCGGCGGCGGUAUUUUGUGUGCAUCGACCGAAGCAUUCGAAUUUAUUACCGCCUGUCGAGGAGCUGGUCGCAUUCAGUCUUCGAUAAACAGUCGAAGCGUAUGGACGACGUACUCAACUCAUACUCAACUGUCCAAAACGGCUGAGUCCAAGCAAAGAAGGUUCAUCUCCUGUAUAUACUGCGCUUAAGACCAGCGUCACCGUGUGAUUGCAACAAAUGAUAGUUCGUAGAAAGCAAGGCAGUUGCAGACAGUGCGGAUAGUGUUUGAGGAGUAUUAGUCAAUUGGGUCCAAUCAGGGAGGGAGAGAGAGAGAGAGCGCGGAGCAAUAUCAGUUUAACGGCAACUCCGCGGUCCAGUAUCGUCGUCACAGCAUCCCUAACAUCUCUAAUUCGGUCGUCAGUUAAUUCGCUUAUCGGCAAUCACCGACAAUCAGAGCAGUGUCGUUAUCAACAAGUGUGACAGAGAGCGAAGAAAAGAGAGCAUCUCACGAUAAGGGACGCAAUCCAGCAAAGAGUGUAUACGGGCAUAAUAACGAAAAUUGGGCGAUUUUGGUCGCGAAGGGAAGAGAUUCGGAGAGUAAAGUGUAACUGCGUCUUUUGUUAAAAAGAAUACCUUCGGAAGCUCAAUUUGUGAUGGCAGUCGUUGUGCAUUGAUGUCCUUUUAAAGUGUAAUGAAACCGUGGAAAAUCGAUUUUUAAAGUCCGUAACUUUGCCCUAAGAAUUGCAUGUGACCGUGGAAGAUCUAGUAGCCCAGUGCUGCAAUUAGUGAAAGGUUAAGUGGUGUACCGGUACUGAUGUCUAGGAAGAAUCCAAGCAAGCGGGAAACAUUCUACACAACCCGCAAGCCAAGCUAGCUAGCGGUCUUUUGUGCCAAGAAUCGCUCCGAAUUAGAUUACUAGUGUGGAAAGCCGGUGUUUGAACUUUCUAAAAAUACUCGGUUUAAGUCGAAUAGCGCAGAAAAGAAGCACACAAAAAAAGUCGACUUGCGUCCAUCCUAGGAGAAGUGGACGCCGCCACAAUUUGAAAUUGCUAGUCUGGUUGAUACUGCAAGGGUCAGGCAGCAAAAAGAAUUGAUCCACAACACUCUAACGUCAUUCGCUAGGCGAAAAAAUAUUAACGAUCGUGCUACACCAACCCGUGGCGAACUCCUACGACCGCUUCCCGUUAGACCUGUUCUGGCAUUUUUCUGCACCAUUCAAACAAUCGAAGUAGGCGUUUACUGUGCUCCUCGAAAGGAAUUACCGUGCGAUUUGAGGUGAAUGAUUAAAAGGCAUUGCAUUUAGUGACAUGACCGAUUGUCCAAUUCCAGGUAACAAACUCUCUUUUGCUCUUAUCAUAUACAACGCAUUUGAAGAACAAGAAAUCAGUCAACUUAGAGCAAAAAGAAGUCAUUCUUCCAACAUACAUAUUUUUAAAAUAACUAAGAAAAAUGUGUUUUAGUAGCGGGUCAGAUUGUGCCAAGAAUUGUUAAAAAUGUGUCAAAAUAUGCUAGGUCUUUUAUCGAUGUCCUUCGGUUGAAUUUUGAACGCAUUGAGAUAGGUCAAGAAAUUUCUUUCAAUUCAAAUAUUCACCUCUAAUCAAAGCCCUAAUCCCUCGUGUACUAUGUUUACAAACGAGCGCGCGGAUUGGCCUCCAUCCAAACAUAACCUUCGCUGCGCCCUUUAAUUGGUUCUAUUUUGAGCCACCGCACAUCAUGGCAGAACGACAUACCCCCGGUCUCGGGUUCGGACCAAUAAUAGUUAUAUAACCCAGUAUCUAUUUACAAAUGCAAACAGUCGCAAAACAAAAACACAGUUCGCCAUGUGCCUGUCGCGGCGACAGCGAUCAUGAUGGUAGCAGGCGGUGCCGGCACGACACUUUUUCUUCGCUCGGUUCGACUUUCUUCAACAAGUCGAUCAUCUAAUCAAGCCACGUGGGCGAGCGAGAACAGAGUAGACUUGUGCCGAGUCGACUGGUGUAGCGGCGGUUCCACCACGAGACUUUUAUCACGAGAUAUUCAAAAUCUGCUGAUGUCGUUACUCCUUGAAUCGUGAUUACACCUUUGUUCAGCAUUGUUUGUGAUCCCAAGUGGCGAUGAUGCGAGGUCGCAUCGCGUCCAGAGCAAUCUAUUGUCUCGCACGUUGUCUGUGUUUCAAGCUGGCAGGCAGUAAUCAGCCGACAGCCCAUUCACGCUUUCGAUGUGACCUGAACGACUGUUCUGCUGUAAUCAGUGCUGGUCGCCACCACAGCUGGUGUGAUACGGGUCAUCGCCGAUUUCCUUGCGUGGUGUCGUCCGGGUGUCAUCAGACCAGCAGCAGCAAGCCAUGACAUCUCCCACUUUUGUUGCUGCCAUCAUGGUAGGUUAUGCUGCCAACGUCCGCCGUCUGCUUAUCACCGGCAGCUGCUGUAGACUGCGAUAGGGGUUUCGAAAACCCGAAAAUCGACUCUGGCAUUAAGUGUGUCAAAAUUUCUGGUUGAGCGACCGUAUGACGUUGGUACGCGGUCGCAAGCGACUACUGCCGUGAAAAGCUAAUUUAAUGCUAGACAAGUUCGGAGAGGGCGCCACCACCCGACUGACUGCACAUUGUAUCAAAACAACGAAGGUGAACGAAUGAAUCUCAAAACUUGGACUAAAGGUUGGUUGCGGGUCGAUCACUCGAACGGCACAUGAUCAGGCGAUUCUACGGGUUGGCUAGAGCAAAAAACCAACCAUUACUUCUAUCACGUUUCAGCGCUUGUCAUGUUUUCAAUAAGUGAAGCAAAACAUAAAUAAUCGAUUUGCUCGCCCCUUGGGUAAUCCCCCUCAACUCACAUGGCGAAUUGAAUGACUGUGGUCGGUGGCUUCGCACCAUCGUCCAAGAUUGCCAUGCACGAGUGCAGAUUUUGAACUGUCACUCGUGUGUCCGUCCGCGCAUGCGGUGAAAGCGCUGGUUGUCACUUUGACAGCAUGCAGCUUGUCACCUUUCGCGGCAAAGGUUGCCAGUUUGUAGUAAAAUGAAUCCCAUGGCCGCCCACGAUCGCAUCCGCCCUUGCUCACCCACAGAGGAGGGUCGACGAAUGUCAGACCGGCCAGCAGAAGCGUUGCCUACUCAGAUGUAUGCACGAACGAUGGCUCGCCUCAUCGUUCCUGAUUCCUAUUUAGAAAUCUAUUUAUGGCCACACUUGUCUCAGAACUCGACCAAAGCAUAUGCACUGCCCGUGCAUACGACUACUGAUCUAGGUACGUGUCGAAUCUAACGAAGUGAGUGUUUUCAUUCGAACUGAGCGCGCGCGCGCGCCUUAUCACGAAGAUGCAAUUUUUGUAUUGGGGAGGCGCCCUCGUCGGGGCCAAAACCGGCUACUUUGGCUUUGUGGGACUGCAUUCACGUGCCAAAGGCGUGAUCGCCCAGUUGAUGGUGGCGCCAUUGUCGCACCGAUUUUUCGUUAGUUUUGAUUCUUCGGAUCACUUACCGCGUCGCGCCGCUUACUUCGAUCCGAGCGAAUGCGCGACGACAGACGACGAAUGGCGAUGUAGACGCGGCAGUUAUCAGCGCCCAUUAUUGUAGACAGGCAGCCCUAUUAAUUGAUGUUUUGUGUUGAAGGAAGGGACAGGGUUUUUUUUUACAUUUUCACACACUGGCUGAUCCUUUCUAGUUUCCGUCAGAUCGGUCCAAGGUGAUCUUCAGAGUGCGCGUUACCGUUUACUUAUAUGGUUGAUCGGCGGUGAUUCGUCCGGAAUCCGGUUACGAUCGGUACAGACAGACAGAAGGAGUAAACAAUGUUCAUUGGUGGUUUUCCGCUGAUCCGAAACAAUUUACACGCAUGUUUGGGCUAUACGAGUUCAUAUGUUUUAUACGAUGGAUACGACUGCACAGGGAACUUCGCAUUGAUGUAGUUUGUUCAAUAUCUCUCACGGACAUGCUUUCGACAAAUGUGCAUGACACACUGAUGAGUUUUCACACGAAAUCUACGGAAUUUUAUACGGACUUAUAUAGGUAAGACAAAGAUAGCCAUGGAUUCGGCCGUUGUCUCAUUCAAGCAUUAGUUGUCACAACAAUCUAUGACUCAACACCCCUUCUUAAUCAGUCGAUCCCCGAAGCUUCGUCAGUUUCCGAUGCUUUGGCCUGACCAGUUGCUUCGACUGUCGUGGUUCGAUAUCAGGCAAAUGCAUUUCCAAUUUCCAUAGCGCUUUAUCAGGUUGCCCAGCAAUCGCAUCGAACGGUAUUGGCGUAUGUCGGGGACGGAACCUGCGAUCCUGAUCGUCUCGCAACAGUACUUUUUGCACUGGCCAACAUGUGCAUGGUUCGUGGCAUCUCCGAAUGUCGAUCUAUUCUAUAGGAAACUAGCUGUACCCGGCAAACUUUGUCUUGCCGUCUUGUGAUGGUUUGACAAUUGUUGAGCUCAAAAUAGCACCGCACUCUAGAUUGAUUUAAUUUUGGUCGUGUUGAUUUCCUUCCCAGCUCAUGGAAAAUCAGUACUUUAUGAAUUUUCUUAUUUUUCUAGUUGAUUUUUGUAACUUUUUGUAGAUAUAAACACAGCCACCACGAAUACGAACAGAACCGUUCAAGAGUCAUCCUGAUCGGUUCAGCCGUUCGUGAGUUUUGUUGCCUCAAAGGGGCUUCAAACUCAUUUUUAUAUAUAUAGACUAGCUGUACCCGGCAAACUUUGUCUUGCCUACUGCGUUUUUUGACGUUUCAAGUCCAAGUUCCCCCGUGCAAAACGUAGAAAAAUCGAUUUGUAUGCAGUAAAAGAAUCCCCAUUCAAGGUAUGUCGUAACUUACCGGAAAACAUGCGCUCCCAUUUGCUGCGUCUCAAGGUCACCAUAUCGAGGUAUUGACCAAAUUCAAGUUGCGAAGGGAGCGCUUCCGGAAUGUCUUGAGCAGAAUCAUCGUCUAAAAUGUCUCCAUCGUCACAGAAGCUUUCUUGACCGUCGUUGUCCUCAUCUGGCUUCUCACCCUCUUGCUCAAGUCUUCCGGAAGCAGGUUGAUUUGUCUUUUUCGAAGGUCCUUCAACGCCUUGUGGUCGAUCGCACAAAUUUGCAGCCGCCUGUUCAUGGUAGAUAUCCAGCUCGUAGAACACACACCAAUGAUAUCGCCGUCGUAUUUCAUCUCAGCUGGCAAUGCCUCGAAAGAAACGUUCAAUCCAGCUUCGGUCAUUUUCUUCACGGAAAGUAGAUUCGCUGUUACAGCUGGCACAUACAGAACGUCGUCUAUGAAGCACUGAACUCCUUGGCUAUUGGUUCCCACGAUUGGUCGUUUUGUGCCACGCGGUAAUCGACUCGUCGUCCUUCGCCACACCAAUGUUGAUUCUUCAAGCGAAUGAAAUAUUCCUUCCGAUACAUUAGAUGAUUGCUAGCACUGGAGUCCAACGUGAAGGUAUUUUUUCUCCGGCUACGGCUAUCCUUGGACUCACUGCUCAUGAACACAAACGCUUUUCUGCCGCUCGCUGCGUUCGCUUCUGCUUCGUCUUCUUCUGGAUCGUACCUGCAGUCCUCGACCUUGUGCCCCAUCUUGUGACAUCGAUGACAUUUCCCUUGGAACUUCCAUGACUCGUUUCGUUGUCCAUUCCACGGCUUCUGAGUGCUCCUAACAAACGCCAAUGGAUCGUCCUUGUGCACAUCGAUCAUGCUGUAAUUCUUCUUCAUAUCUUCUGCUAACAGCCUUUUCUCUUACGGCAUCCAGGGUCAGUUUAUCUUCGUCCAGGUUCGUAGGAUUGCGGACGAGUAACGAACAGCUGCGAAACCAAAUCGCCUUCAUCAAGUUUCGCUCCCGCCGAUUUGAGUUUCCGGAUGUGCUCAUCGAACGUCUUCAGAUGGUCCCUGAUGGACGAAUCUUCCGCCAUCUCGAGCUUUGCGAGUUGCUUGCGUAACGUCGCCCAGAUGUCCUUGGCCGAUUCCUUCUCCCAGAUCAUAUCCAACAAAUCGUCCUGACUGAAAGAAAUGAUCAGGUUCACUGCCUUCCCGUCCAACUCUUGGAACUUCACUAAUUCGUCUGCAACGGUUGGCGUAUCUUUCUUGACCGCGGUCCAGCAAUCCGGCCCACUUGAAUAAGACGGUUGCACUUCCACGUGAGAGGCCGCGGCCGGAAUGAGAGAUUCCUGAAUGCUUCCUCCUCUCCAAGACUGUUCCGGCAGUCGGCUAGCAACCUCGCUAGGAAGCAUGCCAGCUUACGGAUGAAAUGGUCCUCCGAAACACGGUUUAGACUUCCACUGCUCAGAUGGUCAAGUCUGCAAAGAAAACGAACAUAAACUAGCGCUCCUACGCUUUGCGGAGUGAAUCGUUUCUAUGCGUUCGCUUCUUUGCCGGCAGUGUAGGUAAUCCAUACCACAGACAAACAUACGUAACACUGGCGAAAUUUCCAUCGACCACGCCUUUAACGAUCAUUUUAAAUCGUCAUAGUUGUGGUUUUCACAACCAGAGGCAUGCGCAUCGUUUUUUCCUUGCGUUUGACGUUUCACACUAGCGCCUUCUGUUGACGAUAUUGCACAACGCAUUGUUACGUGAAACAUUUCCUCCAGGUGAUGGUAGUGUGAACUGGGCGAUGGAUAUUCACGAAAACUGUUCUAGAUGUCACGUCUGUUUGUCUGUGGAAGAACUGUCAAACAACUGGAAACUCGGGUUGUUUUCCUACUCGUCAGAGUAGAUACCAUCAAAUAUCUGUAUUUACAGAAUUUGGCCUGCUUUGAUUGAUCGGCACGACAAAAAAGAAACAAUGCUCACAAGUUCGUCGAAUAGAAUUUCUCUAAAACCAAACGACGACAAUCUUCCUCGUCUUGGUGGCUCCGGCACUUUCUCGAAGCAGAAAGAUCGUGAAUACCUACCGAAACAAAAAUAAAGAAACAUGAUAAGACACCAUCCCCGCUGCUGCAGGAAUGCACUGCAUGUGCGAAGAUAGGGUACAGAACCAAAUGUAUUUCAAAUAAACAUUUCAUCGAACUGUCAGCAGGGCUUGCCUGUGUCAGGAAGUUUGAAAAUAAUGCAAAAAAGCAUUAUUUUUGGAAUAAAUGUCCCAAUAUCCCACAAAGAAUUGUUAUAAUAUAUAUGAGAUUCGUUCGUGCCGCACCCUGCCGGAACACUGCUCCGCCUCGUAAUCGAUCAAAGAUUGUUGUGGUUGUUCGCUCAUUGUUAUCCCCUCCACACAAAGUUUACACUCGGUAAACAAUCGGCUAUUUUUGACACCGACGAACCAAGAGCCCGGACUUUGAAUCGAGAAAGGUUAAGGUCUUUUGCAUAGCGUAGCGGUAGUUAAAUAGUCGAAUUCGGAUGACUAGAUUGCACCGCGCACACACACACACACCUCAGCAACACAGUCUUUGUUUACAUAAUUUAGGGCUUAACUGUUUGCCAACACUUCUCAGCGAAAGAGAAAGGCUUUCGCCGCACCAUCGUGCGAAGGAUUUGUCGCUUAUCAGUGCCAGACAGACACGGACGGACAACAAUAAACGCAACACGGGUGCAUCAGAUAGUUCACAUUCUGAGGACACAGCCAUCUACGAUAUGUUUGAUCUUCCGGCAAGGUUGCCAGCUAUUUUUUUUAGAAAGUUGUGGGAAAACAGAGAAAACUUGAUACUUGCAUUUCAGUGUGGUAGUUUGACAGAUGGAUUUGUCGUGUUCAAUACAAUUUGUCAGAUCGUCACAAAUGAAUCGGAUAUGAUGGCACCCCUGUCUCCAAGUGUUGCGAAGGCAGACAUAUUUGCAGUGCAGAAAGUUUACUCACAUCACAUUUUUACCUGUCCUGCCGUGGCGCACUCUGAGGAUCAACACGACACAAGCCCGCCACUUUGGCGCCAUUGUCGCUUCCAUAUUGGAUACAGGUUGGAUACAGGAGCUCUGAAAUCAUCAUCCCCAUCGUCAGAAUUGGAGGCGGUAUUUGCUUUAAAAAUAUACCGCCAUUCGCCAUACUCAAUUAAAUACUGAUCACGAGGUUCAAAAUGUUGGGAUGACACCCCCGCAUUCCGUGUCUACCGUUGUCGGUAUCUGCGUCGUUGGCAGAGAAAAUUGACAUUUUUAUCGCUCCCUUGUAGACAGUUCUGUCCUUACAACGCGACCACAUGGAGAUGAAAGGUCUCCUCUAAUACAGUAGCAUCAGAAUCUAAGCAACCUCUGUGGUUGAAUCACACAUGGCCGCCUUGGACCAUGACCGUCAUCUGGGUACUCUAACGAUAAUUGAAAUUUUCAUCUAGUUCUCAUCUGUGUAACAUUCUUCCAUACCACACAGACAAUCAUUAAUCUUCCUUCUUAUACAAACACGGGCAAAGCAGGCGGGUUUUCGACCGAAGAUAACCUCUUGUUGACUAAGACGGUCUACUUCUGGCUCCGCGUGAUAAGUAGCGCCACACUGUGGCAUGCAGCGGAACGAUUCCUCUCGCGUCUCGCCAUCGUCGUAUACCAAAUUCCAACAAGAAUCAUCACCAGCUACAUGUUUCGUUUGUUGAAUGGAAGACUGUAAUCAAAGCAUUCACUCAUUUUUGCUUCCUCUUCACAUCUUCGGAACCCUUUUUUAAUGACCGAGGACAGAAGGAAAACCCAGUAGGCUGCCAAGAUGGGACGGUAAAUUUAGCGCAUAAAUUACUGUCACUGUGUGUGUUCGAAGUCUAUUUUUGCGCUCGACGAAUCGCGAUAGAGGAAACCAUCAUUAGGAGGAAUCAUGCCGUCACGGCGUGAUCAGCUGUGUUUUAGAUGCGUUGACGCGAGAAUAAGAACCACGUGUCUGUCGUACAGAUUUUAUGAAUUUUCUGAUGCAACCGACAUCGGAAGUGACACAAGUGUUGCCAGGUUGACUAAAUACAAACCAUGUUUGGUUUCAUAUCAGCUGAUAUUGGAGGUCUUUGGCAGUUGUAUGGAACUGACAGGCUGAUUGUAAACAAACGCCUCCAGGGAUCAGUCUUGAACACGCCUGCUCUGUUCUAUUAACAGAUGUCACUUCUCUCGGAUGCACGAGCUCCGUUGAUACUGUACUGAUUGCCAUCGAACGCUUAUCAGCAAUUCGCGAUCUGUGAACACAACGACAACACUGUUCAACGAUCCGCCCCCAUUAUCGGAUGUUUUGGGAACGGGAUCGAGAUCGGUCGAGCGAAAAUGGCGCCGCCAUCCCCUUUGCUCCCGGAUGCACUCUCUAACGCUAGCCAGCAGCACUGGUGUGGUUGGUGGCAGCAGAUGCCACGCGCAUCUUAUCAUCGGCAAGCCCCGAUCAUCAGCGCGAUCUUCAUCGCCCCAAAUAAAACAAUAAUAAUAAUAAUAAUAACAAACGCCCCGAAGAAAAUAAACCUCGAUGGCAUUUCUUUUUCUCGCAUGCAUCGAAGAAGGCGGUGGUGGUGCAUUGUUUACAUUUUUGCGCAUGCAGUGUCAACGCCGGCUGCGAUGACGGCUGUUUUGUUUGGGUGUAAAAUUUAACGGUUCAUUGCAGCUUCCGUCGCGAAAUGCAUGCAUUUCGCAGCGUUUUGCUGACGUUAGUUACGCCAACAGCAGUAGCGAAUCGAAAUUUCUAUUUAUGGCAAGUCAAGCGAUUGACUUGCUCCACACUAGAGCAGAGUUCGGAUGGCGGCAAAGAGUGUAUUUUUCGGCAAAUUUAGCCUGAAUGGCGAUGACUUUGGAUUUAAUUAUUAUUCCUGGUGAUCUCAGUUGAACGGAACAUGGCUCACUAGAUUGGAAAUUCUAUUUUUGUCUAAUUUUUGUGCUAAUGGCAUUUUAUGGCACAUUUAUAGCUAAGGGCAAGACACUGUGCAAACGAGAGCAUCUCUGAGAAAUCUGGAGCAACAUUUUCUGAUAGAAUAGGGUCCUAAAAUUAAAGACGAAAUCUCGCUUAUAUUGAAUAAUACGAUCAAGCAUGGUAUUCUAAUCGGAAUUGUACUUUACUCGAACUUGAAAAACAAAGGAAUAAUAAGAAAAUUCGAAAUAAGAAAAAUGGUAAAUAGUUCUACUUUGACAUUUCAAGAGUAAAUUUUCAAUCCGACCUAAGUAACAAAAUAAACAAAAAUGAGGUUUUUGCAUAUAAUGAUACUUUAUGGAUUGCUUAACACUGUUCUGCAAGGGCACAAGUCAAAAAUAGUUUAAAACUUUUGGAAUUUGAAAAAUCAAAUUGACUUAAGUAACAUACUGAGCACUUUUCGUAUGUGUCGCUUUGUCGGUACAAUGACUGAUGUAACGCGCAUAACUCUCAAGCGACGUAACAGCGCUGUGAAAACGACCUAACAAUCAAUUUUUGUCAACAUAAAUCAUAAAUCUUUACGUCAAAACAUAAACUGACUUAAUUAAAUCACCUGAGCAAUUCCCGGCAGACUACCUUCUAUUGGAGACUCUCGUGAACUUUUCCUGGACUCCCUUUAUGGAUCGCGCCAGAAAGUAAGUCGAAUAUUUACUUAAAAACAACAUAAUUCUUCCACCGCUACUUUGGAAAUGCCCCCAUGAAUCAUCCUGGCAUUCUACUAACUAAUCUGAAAUGGAAAACUUUGGAUUCAAUUGGGAUUUAGGAGGAGUCGGCGUAUCUCAUCAGGUAGGCGUGCGCUGGCCGAUCUGGACGAUGGUGAACCAAGAAUGCGCAGACAUCCACGGCACUCAGAAAACUCAGUAUUAUGUUUCCAGUUCAAAACCGAAUUAGCGACAUUUUUUCUUUGACUUCCGCUGCUUUUGCCUUGCGUUAAACACAAUGUCGGAAGUGGGGCGCUGUAUAGAGCACCAGGUGUACAAUACAGCGCCCCACUUCCGACAUUGUGUUUAACGCAAGGCAAAAGCAGCGGAAGUCAAAGAAAAAAUGUCGCUAAUUCGGUUUUGAACUAGAAACAUAAUAUACCGGUGUCUAAACAUUGCCAAGCUUCUGUCCCCGAACACUGUGGUCAGCUCGAGUGCCUUAAACUGACCGUCAGUCCCCGAUUUACAGACAAACGGAUCGGCUACCAGGAGCAAUGCUGCUGCUUCCCGAACGGCACGAUAUCCACCAGCUGACCACAAAUUGUUUGGUAUAUGACCUCAAUAGUACCCAGUUCGUUGUAAGUCUGGCACGAAGUAUCCUUGGAGCCAAUCGUUUCGCCGGAUAUGGCUCGUGAUUUGGCUGGCAAGUUAAACCUCAUAGAAAUCUUCCUGACGACGAACCGAUUACAGCUG